UGAAGAGGAACGAUGACAACGACAUUGGUUGAUUUAGGGUUUUCCCAGUGGUGGUCUUAUGAUGGUUGUAGUUUAACGCAACAACGAAAAGGCGGCGGCUAGGGUUUCACCAACACAUAAAUCGGAUGUGGCCGCACAAUGGGUUGUUUGUGAUAUAGUUCAUCUGGCAGUGAAGAUAUAUCAGGCAGUCGCUCAAGAAGGAUAAAGACAAGGGAAGGCUAAACAUCACAGCAAACGCGAUAAGCGUAAAGUAAAGGAGUCAUAUCAACCGUCGGAAGGGGAGCGCAAGCCUUUCGAAAGAAUUUAUGAUUACGAUGUGUAUAAUGAUAUUGGCGAUCCUGAAUCAAGCUCAAAUUUGGCUAGGCCCGUGCUUGGUGGGAUGACACAUCCUUACCCUAGGCGUUGCCGAAUUGGUCGUGAAAUGACCUCCACAGGAGAAAGUUGUUGUGAAAUCAAUCAGAGACGAAGAAUUUGAGCUUAUGUCAGCUCUUUACCUCCAACUCAGCAUCAUCAGUCAGGCACUCAUUUUCGUUACAAGAUCGUGAAGCUGGUCGUUUGUUGAACGCCCCGGUCUUCUACUCCUCACCGCCUUUCUUAUAGCUCCGCUGGUUGGUGUCUCAGUUGUGGAUCGGUUCACGUUUUAUACCUUAGCUUUCUUUGAGAGGCUAAAUAUGUAUGACACUGCAUCAUAAAGCAGACUUUUCAGCUCAUUUAACCCAAAUUUGUUGAUGUCAACCGCAUAUUAUCGAACAGAUCUAUACCAAGAACAAGUAGAGAAGGUACCAUAGUUUUUGUAGCCGGAUUACACUCAUUAAGUCCGUUCUUAGCUCUCUUCCAACAUACUAUCUCUCGAUUUACAAAGCGCCCGUCCAAGUAAUUAAGGAGUUAGAACGAAUGAGACAUGACUUUUUAUGGGGGGGAAGCAAGGCGGCGAGUAAGAUGUGUUGGGUAGCUUGGGACGAUAUUAUGGCGCCGAGAGAUUUGGGGGGUGUGGGAAUCCAUGCGCUUCGGGAUACCAAAAUCGCCACGCUCGCCAAAUGGUGGUGGCGGUUUAAAGAAGAUCGCAACGGGUUGUGGAGGAAGGUGAUAUGGGGUUUUCAUAACAAUAGUAGUGCGUGGAGUUUUGUUCCAGGUAGGCUCGCUCUUCCGGGCAUAUGGAAACAGGUGGCAAAGAUCAUUCAUGACCUUUCAACGCUUAACAUAAAUCUGCCGGAUUUAUUUCGGGGAAUACCAGGGAAUGGGUCGGACAUCUCAUUCUGGCAUGACUGCUGGGUUUUGGAUGUCCCUUUGGAACAAAAAUUUCCUGCAUUAUAUGCGCUUGAAUCCAAUCGUCAUGUGUGUAUUGCGGACAGGAUUAGUGUACAAAGUGGGUCAGUGGUUCUGCAUU
rnacentral:lncRNA from 1 species